rnacentral:rRNA from 1 species
GACGAUCAGUAGCUGGUCUGAGAGGAUGAUCAGCCACACUGGGACUGAGACACGGCCCAGACUCCUACGGGAGGCAGCAGUGGGGAAUUUUCCGCAAUGGGCGAAAGCCUGACGGAGCAACGCCGCGUGGGUGAUGAAGGCCCUUGGGUCGUAAAACCCUUUUGUCGGGGACGAUAAUGACGGUACCCGAUGAAUAAGCAUCGGCUAACUCUGUGCCAGCAGCCGCGGUAAUACAGAGGAUGCAAGCGUUAUCCGGAAUUAUUGGGCGUAAAGCGUACGUAGGCGGCUAUUCAAGUCUGGGGUUAAAGCCCGCAGCUCAACUGCGGAAAGGCCUCGGAAACUGGAUGGCUAGAGUGCGGUAGAGGCAAGGGGAAUUCCCGGUGUAGCGGUGAAAUGUGGAGAUAUCGGGAAGAACACCAGCGGCGAGAGCGCCUUGCUGGACCGCAACUGACGCUGAGGUACGAAAGCCAGGGGAGCAAAUGGGAUUAGAUACCCCAGUAGUCCUGGCCGUAAAGGAUGGACACUAGGUGUUGCGCGUAUCGACCCGUGCAGUGCCGUAGCUAACGCGUUAAGUGUCCCGCCUGGGGAGUACGCACGCAAGUGUGAAACUCAAAGGAAUUGACGG